AAUGAAGUGCCUGAUAAAAAGGAUUAUUAUGAUAAAAUAAAAAAUGUAAAUUAAAUUUACCUUCAUUU
rnacentral:tRNA from 1 species